AUUGAACGCUGGCGGCAGGCCUAACACAUGCAAGUCGAGCGGCAGCGGGAAAGUAGCUUGCUACUUUUGCCGGCGAGCGGCGGACGGGUGAGUAAUGCCUGGGAAAUUGCCCAGUCGAGGGGGAUAACAGUUGGAAACGACUGCUAAUACCGCAUACGCCCUACGGGGGAAAGCAGGGGACCUUCGGGCCUUGCGCGAUUGGAUAUGCCCAGGUGGGAUUAGCUAGUUGGUGAGGUAAUGGCUCACCAAGGCGACGAUCCCUAGCUGGGCUGAGAGGAUGAUCAGCCAAACUGGAACUGGGACACGGUCCAGACUCCUACGGGAGGCAGCAGUGGGGAAUAUUGCACAAUGGGGGAAACCCUGAUGCAGCCAUGCCGCGUGAGUGAAGAAGGCCUUCGGGUUGUAAAGCACUUUCAGCGAGGAGGAAAGGUUGAUGCCUAAUACGUAUCAACUGUGACGUUACUCGCAGAAGAAGCACCGGCUAACUCCGUGCCAGCAGCCGCAGUAAUAC
rnacentral:rRNA from 1 species